GAUGAAGUUCCUGCUUACAAGCUGUAAUCACAGACAAGGGAUAAAGGAUGUGUUGUCCUUGCUACUAAAUAUUCAUGCAUGUGUGGAACCAGACAGGUGAGAGAAAAGAAACACUAAAACAUUCCCAGUAUGGGGAAAAAAGUGAGUUUGAUUGUUCAUCUGCUAGCUGUGGGUUCAAAUUUAUGAGAAAGAGUUCUGCAUUGAAGUAAACUGAAACUGAUCUGAAGAAAGAAACAGGUACAUUACAAAGCAUGAAAAAGUGUAAACAGUUGAGGCUCAACAACU